CCCCGAGUCUUAUCCUCUCACACAGCCACACAAGCACGAGCACAAUGCCAGCAGCAGCCGCGCCCGAGCAACUCCAGUGCUAGCAGUCGUGGGACGCCGCCGUCCGCGUGAAGGGCCGCCGCCCGCGCCUCCUACCGCGGCACGCCGCAAUGGAGGCCGAGCGCCCAUGGCAUCACCCGAGCUCACCUCCCAGCCGUCGUUCUCCUUCAGAUUCGUCGGGAUCCGGCUGGAUCCGCACUCCAGCGCCCCGUUCAGACCUCCCCGCCUCGCUUGGGUCGUCGGCCACCUCGACGACGUCAUACCGCUUGCGGGAUCCAGCGCCACCGUCGGCUGGCACUUCCUCGCCUGGAGGAGACGCCCUCACAUCGGCACCUCCCCACACGAGCAGCAGCAGCGAACACCUCGCUAAGGGCAUCUCCGUGGUGUCUUUAUUUUACAUUGUUUUAAAGAAGUUUGCCAGAUCUGUGCCAGAAAAACAAUGGCGAUGUACUUCGAUUGACAUCCCGCGAAGGGUCGGCGGCGCUUGAUGUGGUGGCUGCAGAAUAGCUCCGGGCAAAAGUACAAGGCCGGAUCUAGAAAAAAACUGCAAUUCCAAGUUUUUUUGUUGUGUAUUUCUUCCUUUUGGUAAAUAUAAAAUUUAGUUAUCUGAUAUGUUGAUGCAAUUUUCCCUUUUA